UUCCCGACCCAGGGAUUGAACACAGGUCUCCCACAUUGCAGGCAUACGCUUUAACCUCAGAGCCACCAGGGAAGCUCUAGAUACUGGAAAAGACUGAGGGCAAAAGGAGAAGGGGCCAGUCCUGGAGUCUGUUCUCUAUGGAAGGGCUAUAGUCUCUGUGUCAGGCCUUAGGGUGACCUCCAAAAGGGCUGACACCACAUACCACACCUCCCAGGACUGCUGCUGCUCCUGUCCCUACAGCAGGCCACUGCUGACCCCUGCCUCUGCAGGAGACCUACACACACUCACAGGAAGGUCUGGCUCAGUCUCCUGUGGGGGUCACUGCUCCUUUGCCUGGGUCCUGGCACGCAUAAGGUUUUGUUUGUGCCCUCCACUAUGUCUACCUUCGCCUUCUUCAUCACUGUCCCUGUUCACGGCUGAGAAGGGGGCUCAGUAGGGGAGGGGUGUGAUAACCUAAGAGCACACAGUGUGGGUGGGUGGGGGUGCCGCCUCUGCCUCCAGGACUCCCUGUGCCUGGCUCCACUCUCCCCACUGACUAAGGCCAACAGCCCUGAGUCACCCAGUGAGCAGCCGGCCAGCGCAGCCCACACCCGGAUCUGCAGAGGCUAUGGAAGCUGCUCUGGGGCCCACUUGUCAGCCUGAAGCCCCUCCCCAUUUCCCUUCCCCCAGCAGACAUGCAUUUAUCUUGUUAGACAGAACUUUGUCACAUGGCCAGCCCCCUGCAGGGGUCUGAGAAAUCAAAUGCUUAGUCAGGCACAUGGCUGCCCACACAAUCAGGAUUUGUUAGAAAUGGAGAACAGACAAUGAACAGGUAGAAGGGCCAGAGCCACAUCUUCUGGUCUAGAGGACAGGUGUGUGAUAACCUAGUCCCCAAAACCAAGACAGGACCUUCUCAGAGACCCUGGAGACUGGAGGGCUGAGUUCCUCAGUCAAGGUCCACAGCCUCCCCAGGACAGACCAGCCUCCUCUCUCUCAGCCCUGGGACGUCACCACUCCUUCCCAAAGGUGGCAGGGACCAAGAGUCCCCUUGGCCCAGAGCCCAUACCACAGGUGACAAGCAGUGCAGCAGGGGUGGGUGUGAGGGAGGUGCUGGCCAGCAGCUUGGACUGCCCCUUGACUUCCUUCAGGACUGCCAAGCCCUCCAGGCCACACACAGUCACACUGUGACACACACACACUAGUACAGUCACAGCACGGCACUCACAUGCCCUUGUAGUCCAUUUAGGUUCCCAGAACAUGGACACAUGCCCACCCAGGAUGCACAGAAUUCAGGGGCACCACUGUGCACACAAGUUGACUGUUAACCCUACUGCAGUCCGUCUCUCCCCCCUCCCCCGAGCUUCUGUCCAGCGCCCAGUGCUCUGUAGACGUCUACAGGGGAUGCCCCACAAGGCUCCCGGGCCUGUGACCACUGCCACAUUCACCAGUGCUCUGGCCGGGCCCCCAUCUCACCCGCAUGCUGACCGACCACUUCCACACCUGCCCCAAAGCCAGAGUCCCAGUCACUCACUACAUCGCCAAGCACAUGCUCCGGGAAGGGCAGUCUCCCAGGGUGGGGGAGGGUGGGCAGGGGAAGGGGUUGACCGUGAACACGACCUGUACAAAUCUCUGCACUUGAAGAACUCAGAUUUAGCCUGGAAGAGGACAACAAAGUCACUGAACUACAGUGUCUUGGGUGACAGGCCCCAGGCAUGGACCCAGGAAGGGCUGAUGGGGGAGGAGGUGGUGAUUUUCCAUGGAGUGAUCAAGAAAAGCCAGCCAAGAUGGUGACCUUGGAGCAAGGACUUGAAGGGAGGAGCGGGAAGGAGCCCCAUGUGGACGGAGCAGCAGGAACAGCAUUCUGGGCAGAUGGAACAACAGACAGAGCUCAGAGGCAGGGUGUGCCUGGCCUGUGUGAGAAUCAGCCAGGGGGUGGUGAUCAGGACGACUGCUCGCUGCCUGGUCCCAGAUGCUGUCACUUCUCGCCAGGACCCUUACUGUCAUCACUGAGUCACUGUCCUCUUAGCCUCCUCUCCCUGCUGUGACUUCCUCCCUGCCCAGCAGCCAGAGUGACCUUUCAGCAAACACAGAUGAGGCUUCAACAAACACAAUAUGGGUGUCCCCAUCUUGUGGGAUCAAGUCCGCCCCAGGCCCGUGAGGCCCUGCUGGUGGAGAAUGGAGGACAGAUGGAGGAAGUGGCCUUUGUGAUGGGACUGGCUGCCUGGAGGCCAAGUGCAGGGUGUGGUGGCAGCCCAGCUGUGGCUCCUGUGAAGUCAUCCCCUUCAUGCAUCUGCCUGAUUUCCUCUCUCAGAUCUGCUGGAAAAGCCCUGAGGAAACCACUAAUGGCCCUGCAGGGACCACAUGCGCCUCUACAUGGCCUCCCAGCUACCCUGGCCCCAGGUCUCGGCCCCAUGUGGGGACCAGAGACGCCUGGUGAAAACCCAGUGGCUUCACAUCUCUCCUGGGCUCCCCCCAGUACUUGGAGGCCUUGGUGACCUGCGUCGUGUGCACUGUCAACCCACCUCCAACCCCCAUGGCAUGCUGGGGAAGUACUCUCUGAAAAAAUAAAGUCAA